AUACGUAGGUGGCAAGCGUUAUCCGGAUUUAUUGGGCGUAAAGCGAGCGCAGGCGGUUUUUUAAGUCUGAUGUGAAAGCCCUCGGCUUAACCGAGGAAGCGCAUCGGAAACUGGGAAACUUGAGGUGCAGAAGAGGACAGUGGAACUCCAUGUGUAGCGGUGAAAUGACGUAGAUAUAUGGAAGAACACCAGUGGCGAAGGCGGCUGCCUGGUCUGUAACUGACGCUGAGGCUCGAAAGUAUGGGUAGC
rnacentral:rRNA from 1 species